GACGAAGGGGCUAGCGUUGUUCGGAAUUACUGGGCGUAAAGCGCGUGUAGGCGGUUGUUCAAGUCAGGUGUGAAAGCCUUGAGCUCAACUCAAGAAAUGCACUUGAUACUGGAUGACUAGAGGACCGGAGAGGAUAGUGGAAUUCCCAGUGUAGUGGUGAAAUACGUAGAGAUUGGGAAGAACACCAGUGGCGAAGGCGGCUAUCUGGACGGUACUGACGCUGAGAGCGAAAGCGUGGGGAGCGAACAGG
rnacentral:rRNA from 1 species